rnacentral:rRNA from 1 species
GACGUAGGGCGCGAGCGUUGUCCGGAUUUAUUGGGCGUAAAGAGCUCGUAGGCGGCUUGUUGCGUCGACUGUGAAAACCCGCGGCUUAACUGCGGGCUUGCAGUUGAUACGGGCAGGCUAGAGUUCGGUAGGGGAGACUGGAAUUCCUGGUGUAGCGGUGAAAUGCGCAGAUAUCAGGAGGAACACCGGUGGCGAAGGCGGGGCUCUGGGCCGAUACUGACGCUGAGGAGCGAAAGCGUGGGGAGCGAACAGG